UACGUAGGCAGCAAGCGUUGUUCGGAGUUACUGGGCGUAAAGAGUGCGUAGGCGGUCCGCUAAGUUCGGUGUGAAAUCUCCCGGCUCAACUGGGAGGGUGCGCCGAAGACUGGCGGGCUUGAGUGCGGGAGAGGAAAGCGGAAUUCCUGGUGUAGCGGUGAAAUGCGUAGAUAUCUGGAGGAACACCGGUGGCGAAGGCGGCAUCCUGGACCGGCAUUGACGCUGAGGUGCGAAAGCGUGGGGAGCAAACAGG
rnacentral:rRNA from 1 species